rnacentral:ncRNA from 2 species
CCGCGUUCUCAGGGCGGGGUGCAAUUCCCCACCGGCGGUGACAGCCCGCGAGCGCCUUUCGGAAACAGCCGGAAGGGUCCAGCAGACACCGGUGAAAUUCCGGGGCCGACGGUAAUAGUCCGGAUGGAAGAGAACCAGC